rnacentral:rRNA from 1 species
GAAUUCGCCCUUAGUUUGAUCCUGGCUCAGGACGAACGCUGGCGGCGCGCCUAACACAUGCAAGCCGAACGGAGUUGGGAGGAGCUUGCUCUUCUUAACUUAGUGGCGAACGGGUGAGUAACGCGUGAGUAACCUGCCCUGGAGUGGGGGACAACAGUUGGAAACGACUGCUAAUACCGCAUAAGCCCACGGUGCUGCAUGGCACUGCGGGAAAAGGAUUUAUUCGCUUCAGGAUGGACUCGCGUCCAAUUAGGUAGUUGGUGAGGUAACGGCCCACCAAGCCGACGAUUGGUAGCCGGACUGAGAGGUUGAACGGCCACAUUGGGACUGAGACACGGCCCAGACUCCUACGGGAGGCAGCAGUGGGGGAUAUUGCACAAUGGGGGAAACCCUGAUGCAGCGACGCCGCGUGGAGGAAGAAGGUUUUCGGAUUGUAAACUCCUGUCGUUAGGGACGAUAAUGACGGUACCUAACAAGAAAGCACCGGCUAACUACGUGCCAGCAGCCGCGGUAAAGCGUAGGGUGCAAGCGUUGUCCGGAAUUACUGGGUGUAAAGGGAGCGCAGGCGGACCGGCAAGUUGGAAGUGAAAUCCAUGGGCUCAACCCGUGAAUUGCUUUCAAAACUGCUGGCCUUGAGUAGUGCAGAGGUAGGUGGAAUUCCCGGUGUAGCGGUGGAAUGCGUAGAUAUCGGGAGGAACACCAGUGGCGAAGGCGACCUACUGGGCACCAACUGACGCUGAGGCACGAAAGCGUGGGGAUCGAACAGGAUUAGAUACCCUGGUAGUCCACGCAGUAAACGAUGACUACUAGCUUUCCGGGGCGACUGGGUCCUGGGAGGCACAGCGAAAGCGUUAAGUAGUCCACCUGGGGAGUACGCCGGCAACGGUGAAACUCAAAGGAAUUGACGGGGGCCCGCACAAGCGGAGGAACAUGUGGUUUAAUUCGAUGAUACGCGAGGAACCUUACCCGGGCUCAAACGACAGCGGACAGCUCCUGAAAGGGAGUCUCCGGCAACGGCCGCUGUCGAGGUGCUGCAUGGUUGUCGUCAGCUUGUGCCGUGAGGUGUCGGCUUAAGUGCCAUAACGAGCGCAACCCCCAUCUCCAGUUGCCACCGGGUCGUGCCGGGCACUCUGGAGGGACUGCCAGCGCAAGCUGCGAGGAAGGCGGGGAUGACGUCAAAUCAGCACGGCCCUUACGUCCGGGGCGACACACGUGUUACAAUGGCGGAGAACAGAGGGGAGCCACGUGGCGACACGGAGCCGAUCCCUAAAAUCCGUCUCAGUUCGGAUUGGAGUCUGCAACCCGACUCCAUGAAGCUGGAUUCGCUAGUAAUCGCGCAUCAGCCAUGGCGCGGUGAAUACGUUCCCGGGCCUUGCACACACCGCCCGUCA